GCUGGCGCCAAUAGAGAGGGUGUUACACCUGUUCCCAUUCCGAACACAGAAGUUAAGCCCCUCAUCGCCGAUGGUACUGCAGGGUUCGCUC
rnacentral:rRNA from 1 species